UCCCAGACUCCUACGGGAGGCAGCAGUGGGGGAUAUUGCACAAUGGGGGAAAUCCUGAUGCAGCGACGCCGCGUGGGUGAAGGAGCGUUUCGGCGCGUAAAGCCCUAUCGGCAGGGAAGAAGGAGGACGGUACCUGACUAAGAAGCCCCGGCUAACUACGUGCCAGCAGCCGCGGGAAUACGUAGGGGGCAAGCGUUAUCCGGAUUUACUGGGUGUAAAGGGGGCGCAGACGGCAGCGCAAGCCAGGAGUGAAAGCCCGGGGCCCAACCCCGGGACUGCUCUUGGAACUGCGCGGCUGGAGUGCAGGAGGGGCAGGCGGAAUUCCUGGUGUAGCGGUGAAAUGCGUAGAUAUCAGGAGGAACACCGGUGGCGAAGGCGGCCUGCUGGACUGCGACUGACGUUGAGGCCCGAAAGCGUGGGGAGCAAACAGGAUUAGAUACCCGCGUAC
rnacentral:rRNA from 1 species